rnacentral:rRNA from 1 species
GGGCCCGCACAAGCGGUGGAGUAUGUGGUUUAAUUCGAUGCAACGCGAAGAACCUUACCAGGGUUUGACAUCCUGCGAAUCUCUUGGAAACGAGAGAGUGCCUUCGGGAGCGCAGUGACAGGUGGUGCAUGGCUGUCGUCAGCUCGUGUCGUGAGAUGUUGGGUUAAGUCCCGCAACGAGCGCAACCCACGUCUUUAGUUGCCAGCAUUUAGUUGGGCACUCUAGAGAGACUGCCGGUGAUAAACCGGAGGAAGGUGUGGAUGACGUCAAGUCAUCAUGCCCCUUACAUCCUGGGCUACACACGUACUACAAUGGCUAGGACAGACGGCCGCAAACCCGCGAGGGGGAGCCAAUCCGACAAACCUAGUCGUAGUCCGGAUCGGAGUCUGCAACUCGACUCCGUGAAGGCGGAAUCGCUAGUAAUCGCAGGUC